rnacentral:rRNA from 1 species
UGGUGGAGUGGUUUGUCUGGUUAAUUCCGUUAACGAACGAGACCUUAACCUGCUAAAUAGCUACAAAUAGCUACGCGUAGCUUCGGUUACGUGGGCAACUUCUUAGAGGGACGUUGCGUGUCUAACGCAAGGAACUUUGAGGCAAUAACA